AGUGAACGCUGGCGGUAGGCCUAACACAUGCAAGUCGAACGGCAGCACAGUAAGAGCUUGCUCUUACGGGUGGCGAGUGGCGGAUGGGUGAGGAAUACAUCGGCAUCUACUUUUUCGUGGGGGAUAACGUAGGGAAACUUACGCUAAUACCGCAUACGACCUACGGGUGAAAGCAGGGGAUCUUCGGACCUUGCGCGAUUGAAUGAGCCGAUGUCGGAUUAGCUAGUUGGCGGGGUAAAGGCCCACCAAGGCGACGAUACGUAGCUGGUCUGAGAGGAUGAUCAGCCACACUGGAACUGAGACACGGUCCAGACUCCUACGGGAGGCAGCAGUGGGGAAUAUUGGACAAUGGGCGCAAGCCUGAUCCAGCCAUGCCGCGUGGGUGAAGAAGGCCUUCGGGUUGUAAAGCCCUUUUGUUGGGAAAGAAAAGCAGCAGGUUAAUACCCCGCUGUUCUGACGGUACCCAAAGAAUAAGCACCGGCUAACUUCGUG
rnacentral:rRNA from 1 species